UACAGAGGUGGCAAGCGUUGUUCGGAUUUAUUGGGCGUAAAGGGUCCGUAGGCGGUUCGGAAAGUCGGGUGUGAAAUCCCACGGCUCAACCGUGGAACUGCAUUCGAAACUUCCGGACUAGAGUGUGAGAGGGGUGAAGGGAAUUCCCGGUGUAAGGGUGAAAUCUGCAGAGAUCGGGAAGAACACCAGUCGCGAAGGCGCUUCACUGGCUCACAACUGACGCUGAGGGACGAAAGCUAGGGGAGCAAACGGG
rnacentral:rRNA from 1 species